GUACUCCCCAAAUCGGAGUAAUAUCUACCCGCGUGCCGUGUGUGUUAAUUUUCUGUGAGACAUACGGGAGUGAAAAUAACCGCAAAAUCAUGAGUUUACCAGCUUUUAUUAAUAUCCCCGAAGCCGAACAGGCCGGGGAGCUGAGGUCCUUCCUGAGGGAAAAGGGAGCCGAUAUCUCAGAGACGAUGAGUGAGGAGGGUCUAGAAUUAGACCUUGAAGCAGUCAUCGAUAAUGUGGGAGUCGUCUGGAAAUUACCAGAUGUGAACGAAAUUGAAGGUGUUUUCAACAGUAUCCUGUCUCUUCUCAUCUACUUUCCACAAGAAACGAUGGAAAAACUUGUCCCUAAACUCAGCGAACAUAUCACCAAGUCAGGCACAGCCGAGCAGUCGUACAUCAGAAUCAAAAUUUUGAAUAGUUUAUUCCAUGGCGUUGGAGAGACGAACCCUCUUGCCUACCACGUCUACACAGGCAUGUUAAGAGUUGCUGCUAAAUAUGAAAACAUUGAUCAAGUCGUCACAGAUUUAGACAAGGUGAAAAAAUGGACCAUUCAGUGGGAACUGAACCGAGACAGAAUCAACAAUGUCUACAGGCUGCUGUAUGAGGGGCUCAAAGAAAGCAAGCAUGGUGAUGAAGCCAGUGUGGUGAUGGUUGAGCUCUUGGGUACCUACACGGAGGACAACGCCUCCCAGGCUCGUGAUGAGGCCAACAGGUGCAUCGUCAGCGCCAUUGCCGGCCCACAGGUCUACCUCUUUGAUCACCUCCUCACCCUCAGACCGGUCAAGUUCCUAGAAGGAGAGAGGAUUCAUGAUCUCCUGACGAUAUUUGUCUCAGGCAGGUUAGAGGACUAUCUGAAUUUCUACAAUGCAAAUCAGGAUUUCGUCAAAGGAUUAGGUCUCUCUCAUGAUGAGAUGAUGAAGAAGAUGAGGAUUCUGACCUUCAUGGGGAUGGCUGUAGACGUGAAGGAGAUCUCCUUUGAUACGCUCCAACAAGAGCUCAAGAUGUCACAAGAUGAUGUCGAAGGAUUCGUCAUCGAUGUUGUAAAAUCCAAGAUGGCCAAGGCAAAGAUUGAUCAGCUACAGCACAAAGUAAACGUCAGCUUUGUGACGCAUCGGACGUUUGGACGCCAGCAAUGGCAGCAGCUUAGAGAGCAUCUGGUCAACUGGCAGAACAACUUAGCCACAGUAGAGGGCAGACUUGAGAGUCUUCAACAGCAGAUGUUGGCCUAGCGAGGGCCUACCCCAACCCCAAAACACCAUUCCCAACAAUAUUAAAGCCCCUCUGCACUAGUUUGGCCAGGAGGGAUUAGACCUCCCACCAUGGUGACGGUCACUGACAGGUGGUUAUCUCAUCGAAUACUCUCUCAAUUAACAUAAGAAAAAGAGGAUCAUGGGGGACCAACAGGUACCGAUUAGGCAUUGUUUGCUAUAUAGAGGGCGCAAGUAGCUAUUAUUGGUGCAUUGGGGCUUUAAGUGUAGAAAUCACUUGACAAAAUAAUAUGUGUGUAUAGGUAGAUGAUGAACAAAUCAAUCUAGAAUAAUUUUCUCCCGUCAUUCUAUUGGUAAAUGAUAAAGUAAUAUGAAGAAAGGAAAAUUAUGCAAACGUGCUGGUAGCAACAACGUUUAUAUGCUUAAAGCUUUAUCAACAAGGUACUUGCUGCAAUUUUUCUUUUUUUUGGGAGCUAUCUUCACGAUUGAUGUAUAAAAAUGGCUAGUAACUGAGGCUUUGGUAAUGUCAUCGUAAAAAAGAUCAUGGCUUAUUGUAGCCGAUACUUCCUCCCUGCUUGCAUACUUUUUCAUGCAAAGAAACCCCAAACUGUUGUUUCACUAACGCAUGUAGUCACUCAGACUUGUUGUUCCCAGCUGAUUGGGAAAUACUGUAUAGACGAAGACGACAACCAUCUUUCUAGAUUCAGAGACAUCUUGAUACAGGAACAAAUUCCUUGACUUCUUUUUUUGCUUUCCACUAUGGCUCUGAAGAUUUCCUAUUUCUCAAAUUUGCAGACCUUCUAUCACCAAAUAUCAGCUCUUUGGAAAGAAAUUUGUUUUUUAAAUGAUAGGUACAACAAAUAUUAUGUUAGAUUUGACUUCUCUUUUCUUUUUCAUUUAUUUAUGAAUUUAAGAUAUUUAAUGCUUCCUCGUGGCGGCAAUGUCUUUUUUUGAAAGGCUAUUAGGAAUUGCCUUUUUGAAGACUCCAAUAUCAUUGUGAUAAAGUGUGCAUACCGGUACUUCUUUUGAAAAAGAAUGCAAAUAAAUUUUAGGUUGAGAUUAUUCAAAACAAUGUUCAAUUCAAUUACCGGUUUGUGUUUAAAAGCCAUGAAUAUGAGGAAGUAUUACCCCUCCUGAAUGACAUCAUUGCCCCUCUUUGCUACUUGUAUUAUGAUUCCUCAUCAUAAACGUUAUCCUGAUGGAUCUAAAAGAAUACCAGGCCCCUGUUUCACAAGACUUGUUAUCAAUAACAAGUUACAAUAACUGUUAUAAGCUACUGAAAUGGUGGCAUUUGAUUGGCUGAGAGCAAAUUUCUCAUAGAAAUUGGGUAUUAGUUGUUGAUAACAAGUUUUGUGAAUCAGGGCCUAGAAGUAGAUUUUCUUCUCAAACAAGUCUUAGGUUUUAAGUCUUAGUUGGUGAUGUCCGUUUGUUGUAAUGAUGUGUUCUACACGACUUUUCAUAUGUACAUACACCUGUAUUAUGUGUCUUCAAUUUAUCUAUUAUUUGAUCAAGGCUCCUAAUUAUCUUUGUAGGAUUUGGAACGAAACAGCAAACUAUUUCAGGAAAUAAAUAACACUAGAGUAAAAC
rnacentral:lncRNA from 1 species